UACGGAGGGAGCUAGCGUUGUUCGGAUUUACUGGGCGUAAAGAGCGCGCAGGCGGUCAGAUAAGUCGAAUGUGAAAGCCCCCGGCUCAACUGGGGAGGGUCAUUCGAUACUGUUCGACUCGAAGGCAGGAGAGGGAAGCGGAAUUCCCGGUGUAGUGGUGAAAUGCGUAGAUAUCGGGAGGAACACCAGUGGCGAAGGCGGCUUCCUGGCCUGUUCUUGACGCUGAGGCGCGAAAGCUAGGGGAGCAAACGGG
rnacentral:rRNA from 1 species